GGCAUUUAUGGGAUGUUAUGUGACUUCUCUCGCCAAUUCCAUCUUUUCUAACUGAGUUGUGGUUUUUUUGUGCUGAUGGUUUUCUUCAAAAAUCAUGUGGUGUUUACAAUUAACCAUUUUUGUCUUAAACUCAAUGUUUGCCCAUUUGGAACAAAAUCAGAAUUUUCUAAUAUGAACCCGCAAAAUGUUCGACAACUACUCAUGAACAAAUGAAGUUACAACGAAAUGGAGCCAGCGGGGAGCAGCUUUUGGCGAUCAAACAUUGGGAGAUCAGGUUGGUCGAGGAGGAAGUGGGUGAGCAGCUUAAUUGACAAUGGGAGAGCAGCUGGAGCUGAUGGGGUGAGAAGUUGCAGCUGAUGGGUGAGAAGCUGCAGCUGGCGA
rnacentral:lncRNA from 1 species